rfam:Omnitrophica bacterium RIFCSPHIGHO2_02_FTLL_46_11 rifcsphigho2_02_scaffold_22419, whole genome shotgun sequence.
GGGCGCGUAGCUCAGUUGGUUAGAGCACACGCUUCACAUGCGUGGGGUCACAGGUUCGAGUCCUGUCGCGCCCA